AUUGUAACAGGAGCAGAGAGUGCUUCCCAUCAUCCUGGACAUGACGGGUCAACUGUGGACCGGUCAAAUGCUCCGUUUUUGCAGGAUGCUGAAGCAAAGGGAGUUAACUACGCAGCACUGGAUUUCUCCACGAGGAAAGUGAAAGGAGGGAAGAGGAAGAAGAGCGAGUCGCCACAAGAGUAUGAGUACUCUGCUGUGAGAGCGUAUGACCACAACCAGCAGCACCCUUGUCCAUAGAAAGGGCCCGGGCAGAGGCCCCAAAGUCUCCACAGAGUGCUUCUACCUUGGUGUGAUCUUACAGAGCUUUAUAUUCCCAACUGGCAUCCCAUAGUGACACGAGGAACAUGUGUAUCAGAAUCUGUAUACAUCUUCUAAAGAGGUUUAGAGUUGUCUAACACCGAGGUCGGCAUGUCUGUUGACUUGUUUGCUUUUGUUGACAUAAAACUGGAUAUUUAUUUUAUCUCCUCAUUUUGAAACAACUGCAUCUUCACUCAUCACAAAUAGUACCAAAAGGAUCAUGUCAGUUCACUAUUUAAAAUCCUUAAGCUGCCCUUGUCUGUUUGUUGUGGUCUUUCACAUUUAUUGUUUGUUUAUUGAGACUUUAUAGCAAGGGAUGGUGCGACAGAUCAUCUUCCCACCACUGCCAUCUGUUGGUGAAAACAGCAGAUACAACUUACUUAACUUGUUGUUCAUUAGCUCAACUAAAUAUCAAUACGUUUGUUUAUUUAAUCCAUUUUUAAAAUGAAUCGAAUCAAUAAAAAAAAUCCCUUUAAGUUCACUCGUAUCUAUUGUUCAUAACAGAGACUGGAAGCCAGCAGAGAUAUUUCAACACAGGACAAAUUCAGAUACUCCGCCUCCUCAGGAAUGACCCGCCCACUCGGACAUCUUGAGUGAAACACAUCAGCAGGAAGAGUUCAGCAUCCUCUAAGUUCACACCCACCAUGUUUAGUUUCAUAGUCACCCGACACGCAUGUGCACAUACUUCACAACUGAACACAAUCCAGUACAAAUACAUCUCAAACUCAUUCAAAAGAAUUGCAGAGGAGUCUGUAGACUCUGUCUUGUGUUUAUCCCUACAUGCAUUGCUGAGUUUAGUAUUGUUUAUGUUGUGUUCGUUUUACCACGACUAAUAUUUUAACUCUGUAACCUGUAAUGUGCAUUGUCCCUGAUAAAUAAACAAUGAACAUUCUUUUUAAA